CCACAAUCAAAGAAAAGAAAACGCAGUUAUAUAAACACAUUCUCGUGCAUGAAAGUCAGCCUAAUCCAUAAACUUAUCACUGAAAAGGAAAGCUCUUGAAAUGAUGAUCUGCCAUCUGACUUGAUCAUUCCUUUGGUCUUAAUAUUCUGGUUUACGAGGAAAAAAGGCUUUUAAAAACCUUCUUCAGUGGAUGCCCACAAGAUGAGCAAGAUGAGCAAAAAGUUGCUAGAAUAUGCAACAACAAAACUUGCCCAUUUCACUGCUCUCAGAACACGUCAACUUUCAUCGCAUUCACUAAUAAUCAUGAAUUCCAGUUUAAUAUCAAUAAAGAAAAUUUAAUGUAAUUAAAAUAUCUAGUAUAAAUGUUUUGGCAGAAAUUAGUGCAAAUAUUAUACAGCUUUUAGAAUAUUAUGCAAUUAUUAGAAUAUUACGAUCACAGUUUCUGCUGAAAACAAUUCAUACACUUUAAUAGCGUUGCGUGGAUUGUCAUGAGUUGUACGUCAUUCAUCUUGUCGCACAACACAAUGUUCAGCCAUUUCUUGUUUUCAACACCCGCCACAUUUACUGUAUAUCGCAUUAUAACACU